rnacentral:rRNA from 1 species
AGUAGAGGAUAGCCCGGCCGAAAGUACGGAGUUAAAUUACUCUAUGUUGUGUCAUGAGGACAUCUGAAUAACACUAAAGAACUUGUCGCUAUGGGAGUGGGGAGUGCGUCUGAUUAGGUAGUCGGCGGGGUAAGUGGCCACCGACGCCGACGAUCAGUAGGGGUUCUGAGAGGAAGGUCCCCCACAUUGGUACUGAGACACGGACCAAACUCCUACGGGAGGCAGCAGUGAGGAAUAUUGGUCAAUGGGCGCGAGCCUGAACCAGCCAAGUAGCGUGCAAGGAUGACUGCCCUAUGGGUUGUAAACUGUCUUUUAUGCGGGAAUAAAGUCAGGUACGCGUACCUGUUUGUAUGUACCGCAUGAAUAAGGACCGGCUAAUUCCGUGCCAGCCGCUGC